rnacentral:rRNA from 1 species
GACGAACGCUGGCGGCGUGCUUAACACAUGCAAGUCGAACGGAAAGACCCUGCUUUUGUGGGGUGCUCGAGUGGCGAACGGGUGAGUAACACGUGAGUAACCUGCCCUUGACUUUGGGAUAACUUCAGGAAACUGGGGCUAAUACCGGAUAGGAGCUCCUGCUGCAUGGUGGGGGUUGGAAAGUUUCGGCGGUUGGGGAUGGACUCGCGGCUUAUCAGCUUGUUGGUGGGGUAGUGGCUUACCAAGGCUUUGACGGGUAGCCGGCCUGAGAGGGUGACCGGACACAUUGGGACUGAGAUACGGCCCAGACUCCUACGGGAGGCAGCAGUGGGGAAUAUUGCACAAUGGGCGGAAGCCUGAUGCAGCAACGCCGCGUGCGGGAUGACGGCCUUCGGGUUGUAAACCGCUUUCGCCUGUGACGAAGCGUGAGUGACGGUAAUAGGUAAAGAAGCACCGGCUAACUACGUG